rnacentral:rRNA from 1 species
GAUGAACGCUGGCGGCGUGCCUAAUACAUGCAAGUCGAGCGAACAGACGAGGAGCUUUCUCCUCUGACGUUAGCGGCGGACGGGUGAGUAACACGUGUAUAACCCACCUAUAAGACUGGGAUAACUUCGGGAAACCGGAGCUAAUACCGGAUAAUAUACUGAACCGCAUGGUUCAAUAGUGAAAGACGGCUUUGCUUUCACUGAUAGCUGGAUCCGGGCGGGAUUAGCUAGUUGGUAAGGUAACGGCUUACCAAGGCAACGAUGCGUAGCCGACCUGAGAGGGUGAUCGGCCACACUGGAACUGAGACACGGUCCAGACUCCUACGGGAGGCAGCAGUAGGGAAUCUUCCGCAAUGGGCGAAAGCCUGACGGAGCAACGCCGCGUGAGUGAUGAAGGUCUUCGGAUCGUAAAGCUCUGUUAUUAGGGAAGAACAAAUGUGUAAGUAACUGUGCACGUCUUGACGGUACCUAAUCAGAAAGCCACGGCUAACUACGUG